rnacentral:rRNA from 1 species
UGUACACACUGCCCGUCAAGCCACGAAAGUGGGGGGGGCUUAAAGUCACCGAGCUAACCGUAAGGAGGCAGGUGCCUAGAGUCAACUCCUCGAUUGGCACUAAGUCGUAACAAGGUCGCCGUAGGGGAACCUGCGGCUGGAUCACCUCCUUUCUACGGA